UACGUAGGGUGCGAGCGUUAAUCGGAAUUACUGGGCGUAAAGCGUGCGUAGGCGGUUUUGUAAGACCGAUGUGAAAUCCCCGGGCUUAACCUGGGAACUGCAUUGGUGACUGCAAGGCUUGAGUACGGCAGAGGGGGAUGGAACUCCGCGUGUAGCAGUGAAAUGCGUAGAUAUGCGGAAGAACACCAAUGGCGAAGGCAGUCCCCUGGGCCUGUACUGACGCUCAUGCACGAAAGCGUGGGGAGCAAAC
rnacentral:rRNA from 1 species